rnacentral:rRNA from 1 species
UACGUAGGGUGCAAGCGUUGUCCGGAAUUAUUGGGCGUAAAGAGCUCGUAGGCGGUUUGUCGCGUCUGCUGUGAAAACUCGGGGCUUAACCCCGGGCCUGCAGUGGGUACGGGCAGACUAGAGUGCGGUAGGGGAGACUGGAAUUCCUGGUGUAGCGGUGAAAUGCGCAGAUAUCAGGAGGAACACCAGCGGCGAAGGCGGCGCUCUGGGCCGGUACUGACACUGAGGAGCGAAAGCGUGGGUAGCAAACAGG